ACCCGCUGCAGCUGCUCAGCUGCCACACUGUUCCUGCAGGUCACUUUGAUUCCCUGCCACAUCUGACUGCUCACCAAGCCCAAACCCACAAAGGCAUUUCUGUGCCUAAUUUUAACUGAAGUGAAGGGGAGGCGGGUAUCUAGAUACUGCUGGCUCUUACUCAUUCGACAAGCCUUACCUCCCCCAGGAGGACAAGGACAGCACGAAAUGGCAUUCAGGAUAGUAGGUAGACAACCUUAAAAACACAAAAACAAACAAACAAAAAAGAGCUCAGUGGGCUGUCAAGAGCCUUGAAAUCUCAGAGCCUGGGUCCAGGAGGACCAAUGGAUCACAAGGAAACAACUGGGAAAGGAAGCUACAGUGAUUAUUGCUUGAGUUAAGAAGGACAUGACCAUGGGCUUUCCAGCAGGUCAUUUUCCUCUUUUACAUCUUGGAGGCAAUCCUGAAGCAAACACAAUGCCAGAGAUUCAUUAAGUGCAUGAAGUCCAGUAACUUGGCCUUCUCCAGUAAUGUGGUUGGACUCUUUUUUAAUGAGGAGAUUUCAUACCUUCAUCUCACCCUGCAAAGGUCAUUUCCCUAUUUGAACACAGAGAGACAAAGUACACAACUGAUCCUGACUCAUGCCCUACAAGGCUAGAUGUUCAAGAUGGAUGCAGAAACAGAAUGACCUCAGUGCCACAAUGACUGAAACAACCUUCUCCUUUCUAAGUGUUGGGCCUGUACAAAACAACUAAUUGAUGUCAUCUGUUGCUUAAAGAGAGCUUGGCAACUGUACAGCUCCAUGCAGUUUGUAAAGUAAGCACCACCAUUAACAAUUUCACUGGAGGGAAAUGGAGGCAAAGACAGCAAGUGUCUGGUCCUAAAUCACCCAGCAUGUGGGUGUCAAGUGCACAAUCAGGGACAUGUAAGGACCCCCAAGGCCUGAGCCAGCCUAAUGCUGCUCUUCCAGGAACCUCCUUUCCACACAAGCCAGCUGGCUGAGACACCAAAGCAUCAGAGCUGCAAAUAAUAAACAAACUAGGAAGGAUGGGACCAAGUUCCCGAUGGCAAAUACCUCCAAGGUUUCAACUGCUGUCAGCAAAACAUAUAUCUCAGCACAGGCAAUAACGUAAUACCAUUGUCUCUGGCUGUCUUUAGUGCAAAGGGUGUACAGAGCAAAUCAGAUUUGGGUGGUAAUAGUUAACUUUGUCAUGCCUGAUUCCCCUCACCCACUUUGCUCAGUGUUACCUCUCCAACCUUCUCUUGCUGCUCCUGGAUAGUCAUGACUCCUGUGAUAGAAAGAGUGGGGAGAGAGGAAAAGCUCAGGUCCUGUCAUGUUUUUACCCACAAUUUGAGAGCCACAUGAUUGAAAUCACCGUUACUCAUAUACUACCAAGAUGUAAUUUAACAGAGUAUAGUUGGGAGAGCUGAAAAUAAAAGCUUAACUUUUUACAACCUCUCUAGAUUACCAUUGCUUUUUUUUUUUUUUUUCUGUCCUGGAAGUGUUCAAUAAGAAAUUUUAAUUCUGAGCUGAAAAGUAAUAGCUCAACCCUGUAGUUAUCAAGGUCCUUCCUUGGUUUAUGAGGGAUACUGUUAC
ensembl:lncRNA